rnacentral:rRNA from 1 species
GACGAACGCUGGCGGCGUGCUUAACACAUGCAAGUCGAACGGAAAGGCCCUGCUCUUGUGGGGUGCUCGAGUGGCGAACGGGGGAGUAACACGUGAGUAACCUGCCCUUGACUUUGGGAUAACUUCAGGAAACUGGGGCUAAUAUCGGAUAGGAGCUCCUGCUGCAUGGUGGGGGUUGGAAAGAUUCGGCGGUUGUGGAUGGACUCGCGGCUUAUCAGCUUGUUGGUGGGGUAGUGGCUUACCAAGGCUUUGACGGGUAGCCGGCCUGAGAGGGUGGACGGCCACAAUGGGACUGAGGUACGGACCAGACUCCUACGGGAGGCAGCGGUGGGGAAUAUUGCACAAUGGGCGGAAGCCUGAUGCAACGACGCCGCGUGCGGGAUGACGGCCUUCGGGUUGUAAACCGCUUUCGCCUGUGACGAAGCGUUAGUGACGGUAAUGGGUCAAGAAGCACCGGCUAACUACGUG